rnacentral:rRNA from 1 species
AUUGAACGCUGGCGGCAGGCUUAACACAUGCAAGUCGAGCGAGCGGCGGACGGGUGAGUAAUGUCUGGGAAACUUCCUGAUGGAGGGGGAUAACUACUGGAAACGGUAGCUUAUACCGCAUAACAUCAGAUGUGCCCAGCUGGGAUUAGCUAGUAGGUGGGGUAAUGGCUCCCCUCGGCGACGAUCCCUCGCUGGUCUGAGAGGAUGACCAGCCACACUAGAACUGAGACACGGUCCAGACUCCUACGGGAGGCAGCAGUGGGGAAUAUUGCACAAUGGGCGCAAGCCUGAUGCAGCCCUGCCGCGUGUGUGAAGAAGGCCUUCGGGUUGUAAAGCACUUUCAGCGAGGAGGCGUUACUCGCAGAAGAAGCACCGGCUAACGCCGUGCCAGCAGCCGCGGUAAUUC